CUGUAAACCCCCUCUACUCUGAGUCUGCGAUGUUCCCUUAAACCCCUAUUCUCCGUGCUUCGUCUUCUCCGUCCAUACGAUUCAACAAAAACUAUGGCGAUAGCCGAAGAAGACGCUAAAUUGGAACUAUUCCUCGAUUGGCUUCAGGUGAAUGGAGUUGAAUUGCGAGGCUGCAACAUCAAGUACUCUGAACCCAGAAAAGGAUUCGGCAUCUUUGCCUCCAGUGAGACUUCUGACGGUUCUUUGCUGGUUGUUCCUCUUGAUUUGGCCAUUACCCCUAUGAGGGUUUUGCAAGACCCUCUCUUGGGUCCAGAGUGUCAGAAAAUGUUCGAAGAAGGAGAAGUAGAUGACAGGUUUUUGAUGAUUUUGUUCCUCAUGGUGGAGCGGCUUCGUAAGAACUCUUCGUGGAAGCCGUACCUUGAUAUGCUUCCCACCCGAUUUGGCAAUCCUCUUUGGUUCACUGAUGAUGAGAUGUCUGAGCUGAAGGGAACGAACUUGUAUCGUGCAACUGAGUUACAGAAGAAGAUGUUGAUGUCCCUUUAUAAUGAGAAGGUGGAGGGCUUGGUGAAAAGACUUCUUAUUCUCGAUGGCGGGUCUGAAAGCGAGGUGUGCUUUGAUUCUUUCCUGUGGGCAAAUUCUGUAUUCUGGAGUCGUGCCUUGAACAUCCCUCUUCCGCAUUCUUAUGUGUUUCCACAAAGCCGGCAAGAUCCAGGCAGUUGUUCAUCAAUCAGUUGUGUACCUGCAACCGAAUCAGCUAAUGUGAAGGCUGAAAAAGAGAGUCAAGUGGAGGAGUCCAUAACACAUGGAGAAACUGUGUGGGUUGAGGGACUUGUCCCCGGCAUUGACUUUUGCAAUCAUGAUUUGAAGCCAGUGGCAACUUGGGAAGUUGAUGGAACAGGAUCAGUAUCUGGAGUUCCUUUCUCCAUGUACCUUCUCUCUGUUGAACAACAUCCUACGCUGAACAAGGAGAUCACCAUUAGUUAUGGUAACAAAGGAAAUGAGGAGCUACUCUACCUGUAUGGAUUUGUCAUAGAGAAUAACCCAGAUGACUAUCUCAUGGUAGGGUUCAUUUUUAGACAUCAUCUUUCUCUACUUGCGAUACUUUCGAAGAAGAUGCACAUCAAUUUCAUUAUUAGGUGUAAUAACAUUGCAUGUAUUCAGGUGCAUUAUCCGGUGGAGGCGCUUAAGAGCAUCCCCUUUUCUGAUUCCAAGGGGCAGCUUCUUGAAGCUCAGAAAGCUCAGCUACGAUGUCUCUUACCUAAAUCACUGCUUGAUCAUGGGUUCUUCCCAAAAGUCACAUCAAAGCUUCGGGAAACUGAUGUGAGCAAAAGAGAACAGCCCUGUAAUUUCAGUUGGUCUGGCAAGCGUCAGACACCCACAUAUCUGAAUAAGUUAGUAUUCCCAGAAGACUUUAUGGCAGCCUUGAGGACGAUAUCCAUGCAAGAAGAUGAGAUUUUCAAAGUCUCAGCGAUGCUUGAGGAGCUUGUUGAGUCGAGACCUGAUGAACAAGCUUCUGAAAACGAAGUCAGGGUAGCUGUAUGGGAAGGUUGUGGGGAUUCUGGAGCUUUGCAGUUACUUGUGGAUCUCCUUAAUGCAAAGAUGAUGGAUCUAGAAGAGAACUCCGGGUCAGAAGAGCUGCUUGACAAGGCAUGUGUCUCUGACAGCCCCAAAGAGCAAACUGGUUCAAGCUCUCAAAAGCCGGAAAAGCAAGUCAGAAGCCAUUGUUGAUUGGAAAGAAGGGAAUGUUGCGCACUUUCUACAUUGUCAAGGCACUGACCGAGAGAAGCGUCCGAUGCUCCGCCGUCAUCCUCCUCGUAUUCAACCUCAAGAACUGAAACCGGGCUGUUGUGGUCAGUGUCCCCAUCACAUUGACGAGUAGCGUCUACUCCCCUACAAGGGCCAUGACUUAACAGAAACCAACCAAGUGGGCAGUGUUUUGUCUACACGUGAAAGAGAAAUAAACAGCUGCACGUGCAUUAUGGUCGACCGUACGGUUGAAGCAAAGUCAACCCCAAGAUUGGAUCUUUUAUUAAAUUUAUUAUUAUUGUUAUGAUUCAUCGGUUUCUUACCUCAGGUCCCACUUGAGUGUUAGUGUCGGCUACUAUUGCUGCCGUUGUCUCCGUGGAAGAAUCUUCGCCGACACACUGACGGCAGAUACUCCAAAGUAAAAUCCGAGUCACACCAACUGCUACAAGGCGUGCCGCUUGUGGUUGAGCCAGUCGUGGUUGUAUUCACCGUG